AGUGCUGAAAACUUAGAUAACUGAUAUUCAAAUUGUUUAUCUGUCAUGGUCGUAGCUUCCAAGUAGAGAUAUUCUAAAAUAUGAAUUGUGCAAGGCAGCAAUUCUGGUUCACGUGUCAUGGGACAUUUGUGCAAAGGCACACCAACAUAUACAAAAUUUCGAAGACUUGGAGCCUGGAUUUCCACCUUUUCGAGUCCUUCACACGAACGUAGUUCCAAU
rnacentral:lncRNA from 1 species